GGAAACAGAAGCCUGAGAAGCAGUGGCAUUUUGGACUUUCAACUCUGUCCGUAUCUGGGAAAGGGGGCUGGAAACCCUCUGGUAAAACCAAAAACUGAAAAUACUAGAAACUUUUGAAAAAUGCAGGACCUGGAUAUUAUGAACACCCAAUCACUUGGUAACCCGAUAUUCUGUGAUCCUCCUCACCCACCACAACAAAGAACAGA